CGCGUAAACUUACAGAAAAUGUUUAUUUAUGUAAAUAUGUAAAUUUAUUAACAGAUUCCUCAAGAAACUGUAGGGGAUUUCGAAUAUUCUGAUUUUAAGGAAAUUUCUAUGGAAAUACUUAAACAUUUUAAUAUUAUUUUCAUACCUGUUUGGAUCCCACAAGGAGUUUCUUUUAUAAUUCUUCAAGGAGUUGCUUAUGGUAUUCAUCUAAGACUUUCUUUUGUAAUUCCUCCAGGAGUCUGGAAUACCUUCAAUACUUUCUUCUGGGAUUCAUCCAUUUUUUGUGAUUACUCAUGGAGCUUCUUAAGAAAUAACUCAAUUCACCGGGAAAUCUUCGUGAAGUUUCUCAAAAAUUAAUCUAAGUGCUCUUCAGACAUUCUUCCAAGAGAACCUCGGGAAUUGCUUUCAAAGUUUCUAGGUAAAUAUCUCCUGGAGUCUCCGAGAAUUUCUACAGAAGUUUCCCAGGAAUUCAUCCAUGGCUUCCUCACGAAUACCAUGGAAGCUUCUGAAGAGUUCCUCCAGGAUUACCCAGGCAAUUUCUCCUUGAUUUGACAGGAAAUAACUCCAUAAAUUACCCGAAGAUUUCCUCCAGAAUGUAACCCGCGGUUACAAUUUUGUUCUACAUUUACGUACACCACUGUGUUUUGUAUCAUUUAAUUCGUUUAUUUUAUAAAUUUUUAUUUGAAAUUAGUUUUGUCCAAAUGUAGGGAAUUUAAUUCGCAUACAUUGUAUCGGUGAGGCAUUUGACCCCAAUCUCCCACCCCACUCAAAGGCACACAUCAGCAACAACAAGCAGCAGAACAAUUGCAUACGGUGGAUAUGUGGUGUGUGGUGUUUUGUUUUGGUCGAGCCAAGCGAGAGGAGAAAGUGUCGAACCACGAAUCGCGACGGACGCAUCUUUUUACUCCGCGGAAUACGUGCCGAAGUAAUUAAUUUAGUGCCGUUUUCGCGUUGUCCGUAGGCUAGAUGGUUGUUCCUAGCCUCGUCGGGAGUGGAAAGUGAACAGUAAUUCCCCCGAACAUUUGUGCCGGCCCGUGGUUCGGGCACAGUGAAGUGCAGUGAAAGUGCUGUGCUAGGGUGAGGACCACCGCCAUUGCGGUUCGCAAAGUGUCCAAUAUCCCACCGUCUUCGCUACACAGCCAAUAGAGCUUUGUCUCGCCCGUGUAGCUAAUUGCCAAGGAAGACGAAGCAAGAAAGCACAAAGGGGCGUGCUAUUCUUGGGUUGGAAACUGCGGUUUCUGCCGGAACUGUCUACGGCGAGUAGGCAGUUCGGUGUUUUUACACCACCGUCGCUAGGGGGGAUCCGACAAAGGAGCCCGCUCUUCCCCCUAGCUAAACGUCAAGGACGACUGUUUUACAGUCCAAAAGUGCCCAAAAGUAAAGCAGAAGAAGAAAGAAGAAGAAGAAGAAGCUCCGCAUAGUCCGUGCGGGAGCGGAGGAGCCAACGACGACCACCACCACCACUGCAGCAAGGGCCCCAACGAGUCGACCGAAGCCAAAGUGCCUUGGGGAGAACGGGGCAAAAGAUAAUCACCAUGCGGAGGCCGACAAGCUUGCUCUAGCUCCGGGGGAGGAGCAAGGAUCAAUCCAUAGCGGCGGCACUACAACAAGAACGGAAUCCGGAGGAAGCACCACCAGUCCGGAGAUCAGCGAGUUAUGGGAUUUUUAAGCGUUAUCUCCUCCGGCUCCGCCGUCGGCUGCCUACUCCAUCGGGGACACUCGUCAUUCAAGGGGUGGCGAGGUAAGAAGUACAACUACCAGCGUAUGCAUUUCGACGACGGGUGGUAUACCGCACUGCGAACGAUCCCAGUAUCCGGGCAUUUCUAAUCAAUCAGAUUCAUAUUGUCAGAAUGGGGCAACAUCACAGGAUCAACGAUGUGGAAGACUACGUGGGAAACAGGAUCUCCUGGAACGACGGUGAUGAGAGACAGCAUCCCCUCAUUCCUUACCUCUUUCCGUGGUCGGAAACUAAACCGGAUUGACUCGAUACUUAUACAGUGGGCAUUAUCAGUUACCAGCAGCGGGAAAAGCGAAAAUGGAUACAAUUAUAAGUAGUUUGUAUUGCUUUUAGUUUUGUUUCAAUAAAAAAUCAAUAUUUUGAUAAAA